GUUUUUGUAGUUGAAGAACAACGGUGGUUUUUCAGACCAUAGGUUUUGGUGAGACCAAAUAAAAAUG
rnacentral:tRNA from 1 species